AAAGAGUUUGAUCCUGGCUCAGGACGAACGCUGGCGGCACGCCUAACACAUGCAAGUCGAACGGUGAAGAGGGAGCUUGCUCUCUCGGAUCAGUGGCGGACGGGUGAGUAACACGUGAGCAACCUGCCUUUCAGAGGGGGACAACAGUUGGA
rnacentral:rRNA from 1 species